UAAUACGAAGGGGGCUAGCGUUGCUCGGAAUGACUGGGCGUAAAGGGCGCGUAGGCGGUUCGUACAGUCAGACGUGAAAUUCCCGGGCUCAACCUGGGGACUGCGUUUGAUACGUGCGGGCUUGAGUUCGGAAGAGGGUCGUGGAAUUCCCAGUGUAGAGGUGAAAUUCGUAGAUAUUGGGAAGAACACCGGUGGCGAAGGCGGCGACCUGGUCCGAUACUGACGCUGAGGCGC
rnacentral:rRNA from 1 species